GACGAACGCUGGCGGCGCGCUUAACACAUGCAAGUCGAACGGAAAGGCCCUGCUUUUGUGGGGUGCUCGAGUGGCGAACGGGUGAGUAACACGUGAGUAACCUGCCCUUGACUUUGGGGUAACUUCAGGAAACUGGGGCUAAUACCGGAUAGGAGCUCCUGCUGCAUGGUGGGGGUUGGAAAGUUUCGGCGGUUGGGGAUGGACUCGCGGCUUAUCAGCUUGUUGGUGGGGUAGUGGCUUACCAAGGCUUUGACGGGUAGCCGGCCUGAGAGGGUGACCGGCCACAUUGGGACUGAGAUACGGCCCAGACUCCUACGGGAGGCAGCAGUGGGGAAUAUUGCACAAUGGGCGGAAGCCUGAUGCAGCAACGCCGCGUGCGGGAUGACGGCCUUCGGGUUGUAAACCGCUUUCGCCUGUGACGAAGCGUGAGUGACGGUAAUGGGUAAAGAAGCACCGGCUAACUACGUG
rnacentral:rRNA from 1 species